AAGGUGACAGUUGUUGUGGACA
rnacentral:miRNA from 1 species